rnacentral:misc_RNA from 1 species
CCAAACUUGGUCAUUUAGAGGAAGUAAAAGUCGUAACAAGGUCUCCGUUGGUGAACCAGCGGAGGGAUCAUUAUAGAGUUUUCUAAACUCCCAACCCUAUGUGAACUUACCAUUGUUGCCUCGGCGGGGCCUACCCUGUAUCUUCCCCUUUCGGGGAAGUUACCCUGUAGCCCGCCGGUGGAUUUUCAAACUCUUGUUAUUUUAAUGUUAUCUGAAUGUCUUAUUUUAAUAAGUCAAAACUUUCAACAACGGAUCUCUUGGUUCUGGCAUCGAUGAGAACGCAGC